UCACAUGGGUACACAAGAAAAAGAGAAAUGUACCAGAUGUGGGUUUGUCACCCAUAUGAAAAGUGACCAUGUCUAUAUUCCACAUGUUCCUCUUUUUCUUUAAAGUGGUCUUUGCUGCAAUAAAAAUUUUUUUUUGCAGCUUUACUGGUCUUCACAUAAUCUGCUGAAUCAUUCCUUUCCAAGAAGUAUCUGAAGAAGGCAUUUCUGAAGAAGGCAAAUUAAAUGGAAAAAAAAAUAAGACCAUAAAACUGGUAAAUUAUUACUAUUUCUGAAGAAGGAACAUUAAAUGGAAAAGAUAAGGACCAUAAAACUGGAGAAAACCUUCAGCAGUGGAUUCCCACUGGACAUCUCAGAGUUGUCCAUAAAACAGAAAAGAAAAAGAAGGAAGAAAAGGUGACCAUCCAAAAAGGAGAAGACAUGCCCCCAAGAUGCUUUCUAAAUAUAUGGGUUUGUGUUACAUACACUCAGGAUUGGCAACAGAGGCCAAAAGAUCAUACCUCCAUGCCCUGGGACUUGAAGGAAGUCAAGAAUGUCAGGAGAAAGAGAAGAAGACAAAAGAACUUAGCACAAGAACCAGGAGAUCAUUAUACACUUUGACAACGAUAUUGUAUGAGGACAUAUUUUGAUGGAAGUGGAUUUCUUUGACAAAGAGACCUGAGUUUCAAUUGAUAAAUGACGGACAAAAGCAGCUACACCCAAAGAAAGAACACUGGGAAACGAAUGUAAACUAUCUGCAUUUUUGUUUUUCUUCCCGGAUUAUUUAUACCUUCUGAAUCCAAUUCUCCCUACGCAACAAGAGAACUGUUCGGUUCUGCAAACAUAUAUUGUAUCUAGGAUAUACUGCAACAUAUCCAACAUAUAAAGG